rnacentral:lncRNA from 1 species
AUCUGCACAGACUUUAUUUUUUUAUUUUUUCCGCUUUUCAGCCAGAGCAGCAAAGUGAUGCAAUUCGCUGCUCACCACGUACUAGCGUGGACACAAGGGAGGGUUGAGAUUAUGUGGCUGAGACACAGCAUCUUCUACCAACCAGUGCAGUGUUGGAUGGUCAUAAUGCAGGUUUCACUGUGCUAUGAUUCAUCUGAAGCUGGUUGUGAUAGCUGCCGGGAGUUUUUGCUGAAGCUGCACGUGCUGCCUGCCUUCUCAGGAACUGGGAUAGCUGCUGCGUCUUUGAAGAGAGAUUUCCUGUGACCUUCUUCAAAUGCCUGUGAUAUUUCCAAUAGGAGCCAUCUUUCUGUAAGUGAAGCUAUUUUCUAUGAAUAUCAAAUCCAUAGUAUGAAUUAAUUGAAUGCAUUAAUAGGAAUGUGUGUAUGCAGAGAAGUCUAAAUGGUUUAAAAAUUGG